ACGGGGAGCACACAACAGGUGGAGCCUGCGGUUUAAUCGGACUCAACGCCGGGAAACUCACCAGAUAAGACAGCUGAAUGAUAGUCGGGCUGAAGACUCUACUUGACUAGCUGAGAGGAGGUGCAUGGCCGUCGUCAGUUCGUACUGUGAAGCAUCCUGUUAAGUCAGGCAACGAGCGAGACCCACGCCAACAGUUGCCAGCUCGUCCUCCGGGAUGGUGGGGACACUGUUGGGACCGCCUCUGCUAAAGAGGAGGAAGGAAUGGGCAACGGUAGGUCAGCAUGCCCCGAAUUAUCUGGGCUACACGCGGGCUACAAUGGGUGGGACAAUGGGUAUCGACACCGAAAGGUGAAGGCAAUCUCCUAAACCCAUCCGUAGUUCGGAUUGUGGGCUGCAACUCGCCCACAUGAAGCUGGAAUCCGUAGUAAUCGCGUUUCAAAAUAGCGCGGUGAAUAUGUCCCUGCUCCUU
rnacentral:rRNA from 1 species